rnacentral:rRNA from 1 species
UACGUAGGUGGCAAGCGUUGUCCGGAUUUACUGGGCGUAAAGAGCGCGCAGGCGGUCGGUCAAGUCGGGUGUGAAAGCCCCCGGCUCAACUGGGGAGGGUCACGCGAUACUGAUCGACUGGAAGGCAGGAGAGGGUAGUGGAAUUCCCGGUGUAGUGGUGAAAUGCGUAGAUAUCGGGAGGAACACCAGUGGCGAAGGCGACUACCUGGCCUGUUCUUGACGCUGAGGCGCGAAAGCUAGGGGAGCAAACGGG